AUGGAAUCCAGUGUCGUGCGAGUUCUCAAGGAGUGUCCAACUCUACCUCCUCAGUACUCAGUACUCGGAGGUUGUUAAAGCAGUGACAAUAACCUGUGUUAAGUGUAUGGAUCUCUAUGAAAUUGUAACACAAGGAUCAAUACCUCAAAAGGGUAACCCUAAACACAUUAUGAAGACUUUAAAGGAAAGAUCAUGCCUAUUCAGCUAGACCUAGACUAAGACGACUUCAAAGACAAUAUUCGCAGCAUUUUUAAUAGACUAGCCAACAAAGAGUUUCAGAUAUUCACAGUCAGUCAGCAAAGGGAGUUUAUACCAGCUCUUUUAAACCAACAGUUUUUUAAAGAACAGAAGUACCAAGUUAUUGUUAAGAUUCAGAUUUGAUUUUCUCAACAUUAAUUAUUAUUCCAAAGUUAAAAAUACUUAGUCCUGAAAUACAUGCAUGUUUAGUAGUAAAAUAAUAGCUAACUAAUGCAUAUGUGUAUGGAAACACUAAAGUACUUUUGUAAAUAAAUGAUUCAACGCUAUAACUAUUGAUGUAGAUGCUGUAUUUUUGAAGUAAUUCCUGGCUGUAUCAUUUUUUUUAUAUAUAACCAAGUUUCAUUUUAUAUUACAUUUAAAAUGUUAGCUGAUAUAAAUGUUAAACUCAGAUCGAUGUCUGGUCUGUAUACAAUGACUGUUCCUUUAAUUGACUGACAGACAGGGGUAAAUUAAUAUGCCCCUCGAUAUUUUGUCGCGGGGGCAUAAAAAAUAACUUGAAGUAUUUUUUUAUUUAAAUCAUAAGCAGUUUAUUUAUUAACAAGCGCUGCGCACUGAGCAGGGAAUUAUUAUCCUUCUUUGGAAACUGAAUUCACAUCCAAUUUUUUGCUACAUUUUUUGGAUCUAUAACAUGUAUAAAGGGGGCCCGGACCAAAAUUUGCCCCGAAAUCCCUAUAUAUAUAUAUUUUUUUUUUUUAUUAAUUCUGAAAGCUCUUUUUCUGUGCUGGAAGCAUCUAAAGUCCCACAUUCAGCUUUUUUUUUGUGUCUGAUGUAGAACUGUUGAGACGCGCUCUAAAACACUAUUGAUGGUUGCUGAGAUUUAGCAAGACGAUCCAAUUGUAGUUUAGUUCGUAAAUGGCGGCUUGAAUGUGGUGUCAUUUAAAUCGAUGUAUAUGAUUGGACGAAAUUAUUUAGCAUGGUCGAUAAUCCAUUGUGAUUGGGUAUAUAUGCAUUUACGAAUCGCGCGUUAAACUGUUAUUAUCUAAUAAUGUGGUUCCCGCGUUCCAUUAUUAUAGAUUGUCGACCGUUAAUGCAUUUAUGAUCGAUAAUAAUAGAUUGUCUACGAUAAUUUCGUAAAUGAAUUUACGACCGAUAAUUAUAGUUAAGGUAAAUCUAUAAUGAUCGACCGAUAAUCUAUCAUUAUCCCCGAUGAACUGUGAUUAUCUCAUUUAUGUGGUUCCCGCGUGCCAUAUUUUAUAAAAUAAAUAUUUCUCCAGUAGGAACUAAUAUUAUAAAGAACUUUUAUUCCAGAAUAAAUUUACUAGCAUGGAAUUCGUGCUAUUAUUUAUCUUUUGGUUCCUUUAUUCGUGCACGCUUAUAUAAAUAACAUCACUGUGUCUAAACGGUACCCCGGCAAAAAAUGUUUCGUCUCAAUAGUAUCUAAUAUCCGAUACGCUGACGGACUACCGACAGACAUAAAAAAAAGUAGGAUUUCUGGUUUUUUUAUUUGUUAUUUUUAUGAAAGUGAAGAAUAUGAUUACACAUAUACCUAUUUUCGAUUGUGAGAUGUAAUAUUUUUUACAACCGUUCUAGAUUAAUGUAGAAAUAAGAAAAACUGCACGUCAAAAUGGUCACUGAAAUUGAGUGAACGAACCUUACCUCGAAUUUGUUCAAUAUCUCAUUAAAUUGUUCAAAUUGUACGGAAAUAUAGAUAUAAACAUGCAUGGAGAUUGCAAGACUAGUCACUUUUAGCACUUCAGUAUUUGUAUUUCUAUGCAUGGAACGACAGAAAUGGGUCAUGUCAAAAUGGAAGGACCCGGUUUUGUCAAAAUGUACGACCCGGUUUCGUCCUUAAAUUUCACAAAGCAGGACCCGGUUGUCAUAGUAAAUAAUGCAUAAACACAUAAUAUAAAUUAAAAUCCGGCGUUCAACAGGUGUUUACUGGCUCGUUGCAAAACGAUUUCACUCAGAGAAAGAAGUUAUAAUUUAUUUGAAUCCGUAAACACUUGGAUUCGUGCUUUAUUGGAACAAAACAAUAUUAAAUUUUGCCUUUUAUAAAAACGAUUAUUUUUAUGGACGCAUGCAAUUUAUAAAUCAGUGUUUUCAUUUUUUACUUCACUGGGUCGAUACCGCUGUAUGUGGACUAUCAGUCCCCGAGGGUACUCAUUAGCUCAAUAGUCAGUACUUCGGUAUUGACAUGAUUUUAAACAAACUUUUUUGAAUUGUCCGUUUAUAAAUUUAGAAAUUAUUAAAGUCAUAUGAAACUUCAAAUUUACAAAAAAAGUUGAAAAUGUUUUAUAUACUUGAAUGGCUAAAUUUUACUAUAAAACAAGUGUAAGUAAACUUUCUUGUAAAAGAAAAUACUUGUAUAUUAUCAAAAUCUUUAUAAAUGUACUGCUAUUGAAUUAUUGUCUUCCCGUACACCAAUUCGCCGAUAUUUUCCCGUAUGCAGUGACCUUAACUACGAAAUCUCUCGUUAGAACUUCGACCACAGCAAGUGCGAGGGGGGAAACCGUGAUGACAGAAUGUAAACAAACAUGCACUGGAAAGUAAAAAGUAAUAUUAUUGUCUGUUCGCCGUCUGUCCGUCCGUCCGUCCGCCCGGUCUUGUUAUCGCUCUCACGUGUACAAUUCUUGACGGAUUUUUUAUAAAAAUGAUAUCAUAGAUUUAUAUCAGCAAUGUCUCGGACGUGUUUGAAAAUCAGUGCCGAUGAACUAUUUUAAAAAGAAUUGUGCCCCUAGGAAACAUUAUCUAUAUGGAAAAUUACAUCGUUAGCGCUCUCAUGUGUACAAUUCUUGCCAUAUUUUUAUAUAACUAAUAUCAUAUAAAAAUAAGGAGAUGUGGUAUGAUUGUCAAUGAGACAACUAUCCACCAAAGUUCAAAAUAAGUGGAUGUAAGCAAUUAUAGCCAACCAUACGGCCUUCAAUAAUGAGAAAAACCCAUACCGUAUGGUCGGCUAUAAAAGGCUCCGACAUGAAAAAUAUGAAACAAUUCAAUUGAGAAAACUAACGGCCCAGCUUAUAACAAAACAAUUUACGAAAAACGUUAUGACAGACAUGAACCAACGACAACCACUGAACUACAGGCUCCUGACUUGGGACAGGCACAUAAAGAAUGUGGCGGGGUUAAACAUGUUUGUGAGCGCUCAACCCUCCCCCUAACCUGGGACAGUGGUGUAACAGUACAACACAAGAACAAACUAUAAAAAUCAGUUGAAAAAGGCUUACCUCAUCAGAUGGAUACAGGUAGAAAUACAUCUAACAAAAACACAGAGUGGCCGUGGACGGGUACUUAUACAUCCCCACGAUAAAAAGACACUAAGUACAGAUCUGAGAGUACUCGCAGUUACUGACAGCUAGUUCAAAGCCAAUAACAACUGAUAAAAAAAAUCAUGUAUCUAAGACUAAAAUAUCAAUCAUUACACAUCCAACAUCCAAUGGAUUUAGUGUAAAGACGUCAUUAACAGUCAGAGAAAAACAUUACCUUGUGCAAAGCCAAACUAUAGGUAUCGACAGAUUGUAGUACCGUGAAAGUAAAUAUGUGUAAUAUUUAGUAUGGUUUUCAUUUACUGAUAACAAAAUCAAUAUUUAUACCAAUAAAACAAUAUUCAAAGAUUUAA